rnacentral:rRNA from 1 species
GAUAAACGCUGGCGGCGUGCCUAAUACAUGCAAGUCGAUCGAUGGAUGCCCAGCUUGCUAGGGAGGAAAGUAGAGGCGAACGGGUGAGUAAUACGUAAGCAACCUGCCCACGAAGACCGGGAUAAUCCCUGGAAACGGGGACUAAGACCGGAUAGGUAACAGAACCGCAUGAUUCUGUUAUUAAAGGUUAAAAACACUGGUGGAUGGGCUUACGGUGCAUUAGCUGGUUGGUGAGGUAACGGCCCACCAAGGCGAUGAUGCAUAGCUGGUCUGAGAGGAUGAACAGCCACAUUGGGACUGAGACACGGCCCAGACUCCUACGGGAGGCAGCAGUAGGGAAUUUUCGGCAAUGGGGGGAAACCCUGACCGAGCAACGCCGCGUGAGUGAAGAAGGUCUUCGGAUUGUAAAGCUCUGUUGUAAGGGAAGAAAUGUACUGUGAGAAACAGUACUUGACGGUACCUUACCAGAAAGCUACGGCUAACUACGUG